UGUUCUUAAGAAGUACUAAAGAAGAAUUUUUAGCAUAUUAAGUAGAAAAUUAGAGCACGAAAAUAGAGCACCGUAAGUACAUUAUAGAAAUAUACAUUCUUUUAUUUUCAUCUGGGGAUGUAGCCUAUAUAUUUUUUGUUCUCUUGCUAACAGGACGGGUCGAUUUAAUCCGAUUCGUGACUCAUCUCAAACAACUCACAGAAAACAGGGUUGCCAACUCUCAGGCAUCUGGCGUGACACUCAAGCUUUCAGCAUCAAUCUCACGCUCUCACGCACACGCAAGAAAUGUCACGCCAAAAUCCAUUUUUCUCCCUUCUCAAUUCGUUAAUUUUCUGUUGAUGACUAGACCACAGCGUAUUAAUGACAGGAGAGCAGGAGAGGAGUUUAAGGCCCACAGCUGUUACAUCUCCCUACAACGUUCUCGCUGCAGUAUUCUCUGGUCGUUGAUUGGCUGAAAACCUUGCACCUGAUACGUCAGUUGCGUGUGAGAAUUUCAGAGAGAGUUCGGAGCAUAGGUUCGGAGUCGGCACGUGUGACAGUUUGGAAGACAAUCAAGACCAAACCCUUCUCCUCCCCUUGUCUCAUACUAUCCCCAGAAGCAGUGGAUCUCCCUGCUGGCUCUGUCUGCUGAGCGUCUGCUGUACUUGUUAUUGAGAUUCCCUGCUGACAGCCCGGCUCUGGAAAACCUAUGGAGAGGGAGGGAUGCUGGUGUACCUGGCACUACUAUGUGGGAGGAAGCCUGCAGGCCCGUCCCAUGAGGCCCAUCCCCUGUUUGCGUCCCAUGGGAAUCAAGAGACGAGAAGUUUUGCACAAUGCCAGGAGUCCCGCCUCAGUUCUUACACACCUGUCUGGAGGGGUGUGUGUGUUCCCACAAU